UUUCAGUCGACUUCCUGAUAUUUCUUUCCCUUCGUACCUGCGUGAUGUCCAAUUUCAUGUGGCAGCUGCUGCCCACUCUCACAUCCAUCCCCCUGCAGAAUGUAUUGUAGAUCGUAAGAAUGUAAUAUAUGUUUAUACACUUACCGACUGUAAAUAUAAAGUUUGCAUUCAGCAGCUUUAUGGCUGUCCUUUUUUUUUCUACACACUGAAACCCUCCGAGGGGCUGGCGCCCGAUUGCAGAUGGCUCUCCAAAUGCUGUGGCUUUGGUAAAUGAAAAUGCAGAUUUAAGGAUCCCAGCACAAUCCAAUUACACUCUUACAUGGUGUAAUGUUACUCUCUGCAUCAAGACAAUGUUGACACAUGAUGACAAAGUGUAUUAUGUACUAACUAUCUGUCCUUCAAGACCUGAAAGGAUUUUCAAAUAAAUCACAUGUGCAAUUCCCUGCUAAAAGCCUGCUGACUGAUGGUGGUAAGUGAGAACCAUGUCAGGCAAGCGUAUAUCCCAGCUCCCUCUGGGCUGCAGCAAGCAAAAUUGCUGUCCUUCCUUUGGAUCUCACACAUAUAUUCAGAUGUCAGCUUCCUGAGGUGUGCCCACGGUGGCUCUGGGCUGAAUGAAAAAGGCUGAUUUUUAGAUUCCUCCAAUGGCCAAAUGCAGCCUGAGACCAUUCCACAGAAAGAGAAGUUGUAUGAAAUCCUUGGAUCCAUGCAACAGUAUCAAAUGAUAGAUCACUUACUUAUUCACCUGGUAUUUACUGAGCACCUACCAUGUGCUUAGACCUGUUGCAGGCACUGGAGAUGGUGCACUGAAUGUGACAUGACUGCUCUUGAGAAUGUUACAGCUAACCAGGCAAGGGAUGACAUCAAAAUAAAUUUCAGAUCCAUCAUAAAUUAUAGAAAGGAUGAUAAAACAGAUUACAGAAUAGACAAAAACUGAGUCAAUAUUGAACUAUUUUCUUUUGAAAACAGACACUUUGGUAAAAUGAGGCUUACAACCCCACUUGGCCCUCAUUGGAAACAGUGGAUUUGCUAUUGCCACCUCCGGACAGGACACCCAGAUUGUCUCCCUGACUGACUUGCCAUCUUUGCUAUCACUUUCCCUAGAAUAGAGAAGUAGUCCUUCCUGGUCACAUCUCUACCCAAAAGUGCAAAAAGAAAAUAUAGGCAGAGGGACGUUGUGUGUUCCCAAGACAAUUAGGGAAAAGUCUAUUGCUGUUCGAAAGAGAGAACAGCCCUGUGUGUCUCCCAUGAAAACACAGACCGUUGUUGUCUAACAAACACGACUUCACACAGCCUGUAACGCCGUCUCUGUGCUCGGAACUCAAGAAAGAAGAAGCGAUCUGAAAGUCUUGACAAAACGCUUUUCCAACAGAGUGCCUUUUGAAUGUGAAUAAAGUGCAGCUGUCCUGCUUUCCCCCACACCCGCCUGCAUCCUUGUUUCUGCUCCCGUGGGGCCCUUGGAGCCAGUGAGCUCCCCACCUGCUGACGGAGACCCCCAGAGCAGCAGGAGCCGUGCCCUUCGUGUUGGUCGUGGCUGGCCUGUCGUGGUUGGUCUGUCGUCAGGUGAGUUGGGCCGCCAGGGCCGCCUCCACGCUUCCCCAGACCUGGGGCUGUGAAAACAGAAAUUUCCUUUCUUACAGUCUGGAGGCUAGAAGUCCCAGGGUCAGCCGGCAGCAGGGUCGGCUCCUUCUGAGGCCGUGGGGGAGACUGUUCCAGGCCCCUCUCCAGCUCCUGCUGAUUUGCUGGCCGUCGUUGGCACUCCUUGGCUUGUAGAUGCUUCACCCCCACACCGCCCUCAUGUUCACAUGGCAUUUCCACACGCUGUGUGUGCAUCUGUGUCUGAAUUCAUCCUUUUAUCAGGACACCAGGUGUAUCGGAGUGGGGUACAAAUUGCAUCUGCAAGGAUCUUGUUUCCAAAUAAAGUCCCACCUACUACUGAAGAUUAGGACUGCAACACAAGAAUUUGGGGGAACACAUUUCAACCUAUAAUGCCCAUCUCUGGCCCAAGGUCUGGGCAGCUCCACUUGUGAGCAGAUUGAGGGCAGCUGACUACAACACAGGCCAACCCAGCAUUGGGCAGGGGCCCACCAUGAGCCCGUCCACAAAAGUCUUUACAUACCCUCUGUCCACACCCACUUUACAAGCGGGGCUGUGCCAGGACACCCUGAGAGUGCCAGGGAGCAUGUAUCUGUUUCCUCUGGGAAGGUUCAGAACUGUGAAUGACCUUGUUAGUCACUUCCCAGGUAUGGUCAUGAUCUCCUCUCCAGGGGAUCCCCCCAGCCAUUGUAGCAGCAGCCAGCAGGGCUCUGGUAGGAUGGGAGUGACCAGGAGUACACCCCAGGGCAGCCUGUGUCCCCAAGUCCAGCGAUCAUGGAUGAUUUGGAUUUGCCCUGGGGGUGACUAAGGGGUGAUGGAGAAAUGGGUAGUGGGAAGAGGAUGCUGUGGCCAGAGGUCUAAUGGAAGUCUGCCUUGGAGCAGUAGAACUCCUGCCUGAACCAAGACCCUCCUCUCAAAGUCCUGCCCUACACCUGCCCUACAUGUGGCCCUACACCUGCCCUAUACCUGGCCCUACACCUGCCCUACAUCUGGCCCUAUACCUGCCAUACCCCUGCACCAAAUCUGGCCUUACACCUGCCCUAUAUCUGGCCCCAACUUAUGUGUUUAUGAGGGAAAAAACACAAAUAUGUGUGUCAUACAUGUAUGAGUAGGAGAAGGAAAAGGCCAGAGCUACAUGAAUUUGGGGAGAUGUGUUCAUUUCCCUGGGGCUGCCAUAACAACUGUCCAUAGACUGGGAGACUUAAAACAAUAGGAACUGCCCCACUGUCCUGGCAGCCAGAUGCCCCAUAUCCGAGUGUGUUGGCAGAGUUGGAUCCCCCUGAGGGCUAUGAUCAAGUCUGCCAUGCAUGCCUCUGCCCUAGGUACUGGUGGUCCUGGCAAUGUCCUGUCACCACACCUCCUUCUGUCUGCUCCCUGGGUCCAAAUAGUCCUCCUCCUACACAGACAUAAGUCACUGGAUUAGGAUCUGCCCUGUUCUAGUUUGACCACAUCGUAACUCACUUCCAUCUGCAGAGACCCUUUCCUAAUCAAGUCAUAUUCACAGGUUCUGAGGGCCAGGACUGCAGUAUAACUUGGGGGUUCAGGGAUAUGAUUCUACCCUAUUCCAAGGACGAAGCAGUCCCCUCAGAUGGGAAGAAGACCGGUCUUGAUGUUGGAUUUAGUGAGAAUCUUUUCAUUGCAAAUGAUAUUUUUAAAAAAAUUUUUAACUGGGCUUCAGAAAGGAAAAACAAUAGAAACACAGAAUUUAGUCUUCUGAAGGCUGCACAAGCAAAGGUGCGUCCUACUCCCAGAGUGGUUGAUCUGGGGGGUCCUGUGUUACCUGCACCAUGUCCAAGCUCUGCGCUUACCUGUUUGACUUCAUUCUCAGGCAGAGCUCUUCCACACAAGGGCUUCCAGAAGUUCCAGCCAUGUUAGUUUCCCAGCUAAGAAUCUGAGUAAAGACAGAAGCCGUCCCCUCAUCUUCAGAAAAAGGCCCUUAAUUGACCCCUGAAGGCCUGUUUGCAUCACAAGCUGAAGUGAAAUCAAAUCUGUCGCCUGCAAGCUCAGAGGGCCCAGGCCUUGCUCACGGGUAUCUCCUUCCAGGCCUGGAAGCUGGGAAGGGAGUAAGCCCCCAUCUACACCACAUGGGCUACACCACAUGGGCUCAGAACAGAGAGGGGACGGUGUCCAAGAGGAAAAUCAAAAGACUUUUGCCGUAAGAAUAGAUCUGGUCCUGCCACACAGUUGACGCAGUUGAUGUGCUACUGUUUCCUUGCUUUUUCCACACCCCCCAUGCUGGAGCCAUAAAUACAGGACUCCAGAAAAUCGAGGGCCAGGCUGUGGAAGGGAGACCAAGCCUUCUUCAGAGAUAACCUGCGUGAAGAGUACAGUGGAGCCCCACCACUCCGGCUGGGUCCCCCUGAGGGUCCCAUGGGCCACAUGCUCUGUGUCACUGCCUCUUUCUCGAUCUGCCAGACUUUGGAUUUCUUGUGGCUGCUUUUCUCUGAUGUUCAGUCAAGUCUGAUCCACCAGUUAUGCAAACGGACUCAAAGCACCGUGGUUUGGUUCAUAACUUUAAAAGCUCCUGCCUUGUUCUACGUUGCUCUCCCUGCAUUCAGAGUAUUUCAUGGCUUUUAAAUGAAUCUAUGAAGUAGACAGUUGAUGUUUGUUAAAAGAAAAUUAAUAGAGUGACCUUUUUAAAACAUAAAUCAUGUCACUCCCAGCUUAAAACCCUCCAAUGAUGCCUAUACGUCCUCCAGUGGAGUCCAGAGUCCAGACCAAGGCCCACAGGCACCCAGUGACGUGGUGCCACCCAUCACCCCAUCCUCAUCCCGCCCCUGUCCUGCUCUCCCACUAAGUCCCAGACUCAUUGGUCUCCUUUGGUCUUUUCCCCUCAUAAAACAGGCUCAUCUGCACCUUGGAACCUCUGCCUGUGUAAGCUCUCCUCAUCAUUCAGCCCCCAGCUCCUACGUCCCUUCCCUUGGCCUGCUCUGAUGACCUUAAAGAAGCUUCGCCCUCCUCUUCCUUCCCCACCCAACCCUCUCCCUUUCUACCCUUCAUGGUUCUCAGGGCACUCUGGAGCUGUGCUUUCUAAGUAUGUUCUCUCUUGCUUGUUGUGUGCCUUACCUUAUAGAAUAUACUUCAAAAGAGCAAGGAUCUCAUCCAACCUGCUCUCUGCUAUAUACCCCAUGACUGGAGCCAUGCCUAGCAAGUCAGCAGCCAGUAAGCAAGCAUUUUUGGGUGGAUGGAUGGGGGGAUGGGAGAUAGAUUGAUGGGGAGAUGAGGAGGAUGGAUGGAUGGAUGGAUGGAUGGAUGGAUGGAUGGAUGGAUAGGUGAACAGAUGGACAGAUGAUUUUAUGUUUGGAUGGAUUGAUGGGAAAACAGAUGGACAAUGAAUGGUUUAUAGAACAGAGGUGAUAAAGGCAUCAUCUAAUAAAUUAAGUUGGUCACGUGGUGGGAACCAGGAAACUGAACUGUUGCCAGGGAAAUUCUAAAAAGGCAUCUAGCUAACUGCUGCACCAUAUGGAUGUGACACCAACCUCUUCCUCUGGGCCAAAUAGGCAAGUCCAGAUUUGGUCACUUUACAGGAGGGAAAAGUAAGUCAGAAGCAAUACCUGCCCUCAGGAGACACACAGAUGAUAAUACCUGCCCUUGUCUCUUUCUUAAGACCUUUGCUGGUUUACUUUGAUUUUCUGAGCUUCUGCAUGCAGAGUGCAGUAUGAACUCAGUGUCCCUCUUCUUCCCAGAUUAAUCUCAGGGUUGUGCCAGUCAUGCUGUACACACGAGUGUCUGCAAAGUCUGCUGACGAGCAGAACUUCCCCGGCUCUCUCCUGCCGGGGGAAGGAGACAGGAAGGGGAUCCCUUCCUCUCUAGCACCCCCUCCCUGUACUGGAAGUUUUUGGGCACAUGGGAGUUGGGGCAGUCCAAGCCUGCCUUGUGGUGCACUUGGGACCCUGUGACUGACAGUGACGAGGACAGUGCACAGUAACAACAGUGACAAGGACUGUGCACAGUAACAACAGUGACGAGGACUGUGCAUAGUAACAUCCCAAUGGGGGCUAUGAGGAGUGAGUGGGAGUUCCCCACACUUGGCCCCCGUGGUGGCAGGAGGAGUGUAGCCUGCAGAGCACCCCACCCUCACAUGCCCCUCUUGACAUGAGAUAGAUCUGUGUUCCUUACACCACUGCUCUUGUGCUUUAUUUAUUACUGUAGCAGCAACCUGAUUGAUACAGCCCGUUAAAUACAAUACAUUCAUUAGAUGCUACUUAGUUCGCUGAGUGGCUGGCUUCCUGAGAACAGACCUUCAUGCUGAGGUGAGAACUUGGGGGUGUGGGGAAGCAACAGGAUUCCUCCCCCCCACCCCGUCAGGUGCCCCCGGGGACCUGGUCUGGAAAAGCAGAACAGAUGCACCACCUAGACAGUGGGGCCUCUUCUUGAUUCUGAGACCAGCUUAAGGAAAACACGGGGGACCCCUUGCCUGCCGCUGUGAACUAAUUAGCUGGCCCAGGACUGUCUGCUUUGUUCCAUCCCCCAAGACUCGCCCCAGAGGCCUCUGUGCCACCUGGCUCUCCCGGCCGCGCUGCUGGCGCCUUCCCCGCGUGCCCUCGGAGGACUCGGGGCUGCAGGUGCCGUGGCGGCUCAGGCCUACCUCGCUGUGCCCACCCUCCGGGCAGCCGCAGGGAAGGGAGGGGACGGGGCUCUCCUGCCCCUUCCCAGCGGGGGCCGGGGCCGACCACCGGCUCUGACCUCAGCGUGGCCUCAGCUGCUGGGACCAAAGCUCACAAUGAAGAUGAGAUCCUGUGCGUGUUGGCCAUGUCUAUGUCUUCCUCUGUGAGAUUUCUGUUCAUGUCUUUUGCCCAUUUCAUGAUUGGAUUGUUUGUUUCUUUGGUGUUGAGUUUAAGAAGUUCUUUAUAGAUCUUGGAAACUAGCCCUUUAUCUGACACGUCAUUUGCAAAUAUCUUCUCCCAUUCUGUAGGUUGUCUUUUAGUUUUGUUGACUGUAUCCUUUGCUGUGCAAAAGCUUCUUAUCUUGAUGAAGUCCCAAAAGUUCAUUUUUGCUUUUCUUUUGCCUUCGUGGACGAAUCUUGCAAGAAGUUACUGUGGCCGAGUUCAAAAAGGGUGUUGCCUGUGUUCUCCUCUAGGAGUUUGAUGGAAUCU
rnacentral:lncRNA from 1 species